UUUCGCCUACGGGAGGCAGCAGUGGGGGAUAUUGCACAAUGGGGGGAACCCUGAUGCAGCGACGCCGCGUGGGUGAAGAAGCGCCUCGGCGCGUAAAGCCCUGUCAGCAGGGAAGAAAAUGGCGGUACCUGACUAAGAAGCCCCGGCUAACUACGUGCCAGCAGCCGCGGUAAUACGUAGGGGGCAAGCGUUAUCCGGAUUUACUGGGUGUAAAGGGAGCGUAGACGGCGGCGCAAGCCAGAUGUGAAAGCCCGGGGCUCCACCCCGGGACUGCAUUUGGAACUGUGCCGCUAGAGUGUCGGAGG
rnacentral:rRNA from 1 species